rnacentral:rRNA from 1 species
CCCUUAGAUGUUCUGGGCUGCACGCGCGCUACACUGGUGCGUUCAGCGAGUUUAGCACCUUAACAGAUAUGUUUGGGUAAUCUUCUGAAAACGCACCGUGAUGGGGAUCGAUUAUUGUAAUUAUUAAUCGUCAACGAGGAAUUCCUAGUAAGUGUGAAUCAUCAGUUCGCGCUGAUUACGUCCCUGCCCUUUGUACACACCGCCCGUCGCUGCUACCGAUUGAGUGGUCCGGUGAAUUAUUCGGACCGGUGGACUGUGGGGUAACUCGCGGUCUGCUGGGAAGUCUUGUGAACCUUAUCACUUAGAGGAAGCAGAAGUCGUAACA